ACAUCAAAACCUUUAUUAAAGAGCAUUUUUAAAUUUGCAGAGAAAAAAAAGCUGUAAUGAAUUUAUCUCUUUUUUCUUAAUCGAUGGGAACCGUUCGUUGUUGAACAAGAAUCAUUUAUGCUUUGCUGUCAAGUGAUUAUAUGCCGCAUUUAAGUCAAAGACGAAUGGUUUUAGUCAAUAGAAUUUGUUUGAAAAACUAUAAAUGCUUGUAUUUUUUCAAUCUUUUAUAUUGUUAUUAUUAUGGAUAUGUAAAUAACAUUAAAGUAAACCUGGAUUACCUAAAUUAAAGAACUUGUAAGCAGGUGCAGAUGAAGAUGCCCAAUGCCAAUGUUUUUGGUGAGAGUAUACAGGCUUAAUCGUAUUUUUAAGUACGUUUCUGCUUGUCAACUAAAAGGUUUUUACUGAUUCCAUAGUUGGUGGACACACGAUAGUUACGAAGAGCAAAUGCAAGCCAACGGUAUUCGAUUUUAGAUACUUGAUUCCGGUCAUUGGUACUUUGCUAAUUCUACUUUCCAACUUAAUUUCGUAUUCUACAUGUUUUCGUGCGGUAAUUCGCAACGCAAUCAUUCAUUUGAAUGAGGUAUUUAUAGAGAUUAACUUAAGAAAAUCUAAGGUAUAAUUAAAGAAUGAACUAUGCAGUCUCAGCAAGUUUUGCAAGGGAUUCAACGUAGUAAUCAGGAACAACAGGUGCAUCCUUCUCAAGAAUCUCUUCUUCCUUACUGACACCAGUCAAUACUAACAAAGAACCCCCAAGGUUGGAAUUCUUGGCAAAUUGAAUAUCUGUGUUGAGUCGAUCUCCCACAAAGCAAGCCUUCUUUCUAUCAAAAUUCACAUUAGCUAUGAUGGCUUCCAUCAUCUCAUCAUAAGGCUUUCCAAGGAUUUUAGGUUGACGUCCAGUUGAAAAGAUUAACGGAUAUGAAAUUGCUCCAGAACCGGGUAAAAACUUUCCGUUUGUAGGAAAAGUGGAAUCUUGGUUCGUCAAAAGGAAUGCGCAGUUAGGGUCUUGAAGGUAUUGGAAAGCCAUGCAAUAUUUCAAAUAGGUGACAUGCAUAUCCAUACCACAUAACACAGCACCUACAGAAGGAUCAGGACCAAUCUUCUCAACAUCUUCAGAAGCUAAUGCACGUCUCAACGACGGGUCCGUUCCACCAAUAUGAGCAACCCCUACUCUAUCAAGCUCAUCUUCGAUACCUGCUUCUCCAAGUACAAAAACUUUCUUAUCGGCAGGAAGCUUUAGCACUUUCUUUACAUAAGUAGCUGAUGAAUAAGCACUAGGGUAGAUUUCCUCAAGUUUGGCUGCAAUACCGUGUUCAUUGAUUUUAUUCAUAUAUGUUUCUCUUGAUUUCGUAGAAUUGUUUGAGACAAAAAUAAUUUGUUUUCCUGUAAAAGAGUUAACUCAAAAGAAUAAAAGGGACUUACCUAAAGAACGAAGGAGCUUCAUGGUAUCCGUAACUCCUGGUAUAGGCUUACUGCCGCUCCAAAGUACACCUGCGUGUUAGCCUACAAAUAGAUUUCAUAUUUUUGCUAGCGCUUACCAUCACAGUCGAACAAAAAAACAUCGAAUUUAUCAAUGAAUUCUUUAUAUUCCUUGGGUGAUGAAAGUUUUUUAGCCAUUCUUAAAGUUGGUUAAAGUGGUAAGGUGGUAGGCGUUCGACAUAUCCGUUAUAUUUAUAAUCUUCGGUUAGAUGUUCCUUUCUGAUAGUGAUGAUCGACUUCAUAUUAAGCUUAAAACUUACAUCUUCUUUACUUUACGAAACCUUAUUGCGU